GUUGAACUUGAUGGCAUUCUUCAGCAACAUGAGCGCAGUACCCCGACAAACUUUAGCCUCAUCCAGUGCGUAAAAUACAUCGUCUGUUCGGAGGCGUGGAUGGCCUUCAAGUGGUUCUUAAGCUCUUCUUCACUGGCUUGAAUUGUCUCCAGUAGAUCGUCCAUGGUGUACUACAAACGAAGAUACACAUUGUCUUCGUGGAAAGAGCAACAGGUUGGACGUGUCUGCGAUCUUCAAAUCGUAGGUCCUGUCACCGGUACACAGCACGGCGUGCUCUUCUUUGUCCCCUCUGAUCACCAGGCUGCAAAAACAUCAACAUCAGGUCAGGUCUACAAAACCCUCACAGGGAACUAUAAAGUUCAGAAAUUGUUCCGACCUGUCAC